rnacentral:rRNA from 1 species
CCUACGGGGAGCAGCAGUGAGGAAUAUUGGUCAAUGGGCGGGAGCCUGAACCAGCCAAGUCGCGUGAGGGAAGACGGUCCUAUGGAUUGUAAACCUCUUUAGGCGGGGAGCAAUGCCGGGCACGCGUGCCCGGAGGGAGAGUACCCGCAGAAUAAGCAUCGGCUAACUCCGUGCCAGCAGCCGCGGUAAUACGGAGGAUGCGAGCGUUAUCCGGAAUGACUGGGCGUAAAGGGUGCGUAGGUGGUUUGGCAAGUUAGUAGCGUAACUCCAAGGCUCAACCUUGGAACUACUACUAAAACUGUUGGACUUGAGUGCAGGAGGGGCAACCGGAAUUCCUAGUGUAGCGGUGGAAUGCGUAGAUAUUAGGAGGAACACCAGUGGCGAAGGCGGGUUGCUAGACUGUAACUGACACUGAGGCACGAAAGCGUGGGGAGCAAACAGGAUUAGAUACCCGAGUAGUC